CCUUCUUCUACACCUUUGAUGCCAAAUACUAUAAUCUGAAUCUCACUGAAUAAGGUGGGAAAAGGAAAAAAAAAAUAGUUCCACAAAGGUGGAAGCUGAGAGAAAACACCUGUAGGGUCAUUUUACAAAUGGAAUCACUAAAAAGCAGUGCUUCUUGCUGGGUAAUAGCACAAAACCUUUAAAUCACAGAAAUUAGAGACAGGAGACUUGCCAGGUCACCUGCUCCACCUCCUGCAGUAGCUUUAUGUAUUUCAUGUGAAAUGACAUGAGUAGUGAAGCAUUUACAGCAACCCUGGGGAGAUUUGACUUCUCAGUAAUACAUCUCCCUGUUGAGAAAACGUCCCAGGGUUCAGUCCAGCUUUUCUUUUGCCGAAUUUUACGUGGUUGGGCUUUGCUAUAUGCUUUAAAAUGCAACCACCCUUUCGUUUGCUCCCCCACCUUUAAAACCUACAAUCUUGUAAUCCUACAACAUUAUUUUUGUCUUCCUAUGUGAUUAUUUGAGCCAAACUAUGCAAAUUUGCAUCUUAAAAUACUAUGUCAUAAAUUAGUCCCCUUUGCUAAUGCUUUUCUAAAAGCUUAUUCACUGCAUCCCUGUUCCUUCUGACCAGAAGCUGUGUUUCUUGUCAUUUCACUCUGUGUGCAUGCAUGAGCUCAGUUCUUACAGAGAUUGAAAGUGGUCCUCAAGCCAGUGACAGGACAUCACAAGUCCAUUAAGAUUCAGAUAACUCCUACAGCCAUGAUUUUUCCCCUAAAGCCAUGAGUUACCAAGACAUCAUAAAAUUUAGUAUCCCACAAAUCUAAAUGUUUCCUGGUGUGUCUGGCAGUCCAUGUGUAUAUCUGAAGAAACACAGACAUUUAAUAAUUCUUGCUCUGGGCAAAGUCCUAGCAAAGUUGUAACUGUUUCUUUUUUGAAUGUUA
rnacentral:lncRNA from 1 species